GGGAGGCAGCAGUGGGGAAUAUUGCACAAUGCCGUGCAAGCCUGAUGCAGCCAUGCCGCGUGUGUGAAGAAGGCCUUCGGGUUGUAAAGCACUUUCAGCGAGGAGGAAGGUGGUGAACUUAAUACGUUCAUCAAUUGACGUUACUCGCAGAAGAAGCACCGGCUAACUCCGUGCCAGCGGCCGCGGUAAUACGGAGGGUGCAAGCGUUAAUCGGAAUUACUGGGCGUAAAGCGCACGCAGGCGGUUUGUUAAGUCAGAUGUGAAAUCCCCGGGCUCAACUUGGGAACUGCAUUUGAAACUGGUAAGCUAGAGUCUCGUAAAGGGGGGUGAAUUUCAAGUGUACCGGCUUAAUGCGUAGAGAUCU
rnacentral:rRNA from 1 species